GAACAGAUCAUACUGGUUUGUGAGAACCAACACAGGCAUCUUUUUUUUCCUCAAUUCUGCCUUUGUAGCAUGUGUCGGUAGACUGGGAACAAUUAUGGAGAUAUUUACACCACAGAAAUAGGCAAAUGCUACACAUUAGGGCUUGUUUUGGAGACAGCUGGCAUAUCCGAACCAAUGUGUCUCUUCACAACUGGGUCCAGGCACUAGUAAGUCCAUGUAUUGUUUCUAACCACCAGAUCCAUCUCAAUUGCAUAAUCUAGAGAGCGUCCUUCUAAAACUUUUAGUUUGGGCGGUGUUCUGUUCUACAGCCAGACCCAGGAUGGCUAGGCAGGGUUCGACUCCAUGGUUAAAAGAUGACUGUGGGUGUGGGUACGUGAGUGUGUGAGUGCACUUGGCUAAUUAUUAUGGGGAAUUUGGUUUUAUGAUCUCUGUUUAUCUCUGUUAAGUGGUUAAGGAUUUAUUUUCUACCAGGUGAGAAACGACAGCUAAUCCAAUUUGUCAGUCUUUUUGUUUAUCUAUUUGUCUACUUGUGAGCUCAAAUUAAUUAAGAAAAUAUUUCAUGUUGACCGGAAAGGAAAACAGCCCUUCGAGAACUGGACUGGCUCUGCUAUCCGUUAUAAGCCAGAGAUCGGAUCUUCAACAAAAAGUCUUAGCGCACUGGGGAAAAGACUGCCCUGGGUACUCCUCCUCUAACUAUCGAUACACCAAAGAAUGGACUCAGAAUACAGGCUUCUGAGUUGACAGCCCUCAGACACCUUUCAAACUGCACCAGGAUACUGAGGCAGGAUUGGCAAGACUUAUUUUUCUGGUUUGGAAGCUGAUAACUUUGUGAACUCGGACUGCUGACUGAGUUGUACAAGAUCAAAGGAACUGAUGAAAGAAAGUGUAUUUUGAAUUAUCCCCAGAAGAGGACGUGGUGGAUCAAGAGGUAGAGAAUCCUAAGGCUCAAGAUCACGAAGCCACUUAAUUUCCCAAAUGUCUUCACUAUUAUAAACACUCAUCAACCACACCCUCGUUGGCACUGGGCAUUUUACUUUGUUUUAAUAUUUUCCAAUUUGGUGAAAGGGAUAGUAUCUCAAUGCACUUUCCCUGGAGAAUUAUUUCCAGUAGGCUGCUCCUACGCUGCUAUUUGAAUUUUCAAUACUUUAUGUUCACUUCCGUUUGGAUAAUAAUCCUAUGGGCACGGACUUUGCUAUUCAGCUACUGGUGGGCAUGAGCCCUUGCACCUGAGCCAGGGGAACCUUCUGGAGGCUCUAACACUGUGAUCCUGAAAUUUUCUGGCUCCUGGUAUGAAAAGAUGAAAAGAAGACGCAAAAGCCUGCAAGGGAACAGGGGUGUAAAUGAGUUGUGUUGUAGGGAUACAUUUGAUUUUCCCUUGUGGAAAAGAAGAUUCUAGCCUCACAUCUUACUGGCCUGCGAAGUUCAGCGAUUUCAUCGUCUCAUUCCCGACUGCCUGUAUACAGGAAAACUCCACCCCGAUGAGGAGGAAACGAUCGGAAGUAGCCUAUAAAAAAGAGACUCAAAAGAAAGAUCAGCCAUUCACAUUGUGUAAACGUUAUUUGAACCCUGCUUCAGACAAAUGUGAAAAAAAAGGAUAGUUUAAAAUGUGAACACUGUUAACACUAUCUGGAUAUCUGACAGUC